rnacentral:rRNA from 1 species
CACGCAGUAAACUAUGAUUACUGGCUGUUUGCGAUACACAGUAAGCGGCCCAGCGAAAGCGUUAAGUAAUCCACCUGGGGAGUACGUUCGCAAGAAUGAAACUCAAAGGAAUUGACGGGGGCCCGCACAAGCGGAGGAACAUGUGGUUUAAUUCGAUGAUACGCGAGGAACCUUACCCGGGCUUGAAAUGCAUCUGACCGGCGCCGAGACGCGCCUUCCCUCCGGGGCGGAUGUGUAGGUGC